rnacentral:rRNA from 1 species
CCUACGGGUGGCUGCAGUGGGGAAUAUUGGACAAUGGGCGAAAGCCUGAUCCAGCCAUGCCGCGUGUGUGAAGAAGGCCUUCGGGUUGUAAAGCACUUUCAGUGGGGAAGAAAGCCUUGGGGCUAAUACCCUCGAGGAAGGACAUCACCCACAGAAGAAGCACCGGCUAACUCCGUGCCAGCAGCCGCGGUAAUACGGAGGGUGCGAGCGUUAAUCGGAAUUACUGGGCGUAAAGCGCGCGUAGGCGGUCUGAUAAGCCGGUUGUGAAAGCCCCGGGCUCAACCUGGGAACGGCAUCCGGAACUGUCAGGCUAGAGUGCAGGAGAGGAAGGUAGAAUUCCCGGUGUAGCGGUGAAAUGCGUAGAGAUCGGGAGGAAUACCAGUGGCCAAGGCGGCCUUCUGGACUGACACUGACGCUGAGGUGCGAAAGCGUGGGUAGCAAACAGGAUUAGAUACCCGGGUAGUC